rnacentral:rRNA from 1 species
GGCCGCGGGAAUUCCAUUCAGGCCUAACACAUGCAAGUCGAGCGGAUGAAAGUACCUUGCUACUGGAUUCAGCGGCGGACGGGUGAGUAAUGCUUAGGAAUCUGCCUAUUAGUGGGGGACAACAUCUCGAAAGGGAUGCUAAUACCGCAUACGUCCUACGGGAGAAAGCAGGGGAUCUUCGGACCUUGCGCUAAUAGAUGAGCCUAAGUCGGAUUAGCUAGUUGGUGGGGUAAAGGCCUACCAAGGCGACGAUCUGUAGCGGGUCUGAGAGGAUGAUCCGCCACACUGGGACUGAGACACGGCCCAGACUCCUACGGGAGGCAGCAGUGGGGAAUAUUGGACAAUGGGGGGAACCCUGAUCCAGCCAUGCCGCGUGUGUGAAGAAGGCCUUUUGGUUGUAAAGCACUUUAAGCGAGGAGGAGGAGCUCUUGGUUAAUACCCAAGAUGCUUGGACGUUACUCGCAGAAUAAGCACCGGCUAACUCUGUGCCAGCAGCCGCGGUAAUACAGAGGGUGCAAGCGUUAAUCGGAUUUACUGGGCGUAAAGCGCGCGUAGGUGGCCAAUUAAGUCAAAUGUGAAAUCCCCGAGCUUAACUUGGGAAUUGCAUUCGAUACUGGUUGGCUAGAGUAUGGGAGAGGAUGGUAGAAUUCCAGGUGUAGCGGUGAAAUGCGUAGAGAUCUGGAGGAAUACCGAUGGCGAAGGCAGCCAUCUGGCCUAAUACUGACACUGAGGUGCGAAAGCAUGGGGAG